GAUGGAGAUGACCAAUGUAAAUUUUAAAUGAGAGCGCACACGACUAGUGCCACAUGCGGAACUGGAUCUGCUUAAACCCUUCCCAAGCACCUGAGAUCACCCCCAGUUUUUGGUGGGGUUAGUGUUGCUUAGUCUUAAGUUUUCAUAUGUUUGUGUCUUGUGUACUAUUAUUUGUCUGUUUUUCUUUUUCUUUUUUUAACUAUGGCAUUGUCAGUUUAUAUUUCCAUCUACGAGUUUGACUGUCCCUCUGGUAUCUUGCUCCUCUUAUUAAGUGAGAGAAAAUAGCUUAAAUUGGUCCAACUAAACAAAGUGUGUUAAAAACCUUGUUUAAAUAUACCAUAUGUUUAUGAGCCUUUCAGGAAUACAAUCAGAAACUGUCUGAUUCUUUAUCGGAUUUUUAUUGCCUUAAAAAUUUAUAAAAAAAUAUAAUUUGGUGUUGAUGGCAGCUCUUCAAAAGAUGUGUCAUGUGACUUAGUUGAUUAGAGCCUUUAAAAGGUACAAGCACUUCUUUAAGAUAGUAUACAUAUAACUUAAACCUUUUAGAGCCUAUAAAAGGUAUGGCCACCCCCUUAAGAUAGUAUUACAAAACCUUUACAUGCUAUAAAAGGCAAAUGCA
rnacentral:lncRNA from 1 species